rnacentral:rRNA from 1 species
GAUGAACGCUAGCGGCAGGCUUAAUACAUGCAAGUCUAGGGGGCAGCAAUGUCACCGGCAGACGGGUGCGUAACGCGUAUGCAACCUUCCCCCACCAGGGGUAUAGCCUGUGGAAACACGGAUUAAUCCCCCAUAACGCAGGGUGGCCCGCAUGGGUCUAUUUGCUAAAGGAUUUCCGGGUGGGGAUGGGCAUGCGUCCCAUUAGCUAGUUGGCGGGGUAACGGCCCACCAAGGCUACGAUGGGUAGGGGCCCUGAGAGGGGGGGUCCCCCACACUGGCACUGAGACACGGGCCAGACUCCUACGGGAGGCAGCAGUAGGGAAUAUUGGGCAAUGGGCGGCAGCCUGACCCAGCCAUGCCGCGUGUGCGACGAAGGCCCUCGGGUCGUAAAGCACUUUUAUUCGGGAAGACACGCGGGGUGCGCCCCGCUAUGACGGUACCGAAGGAUAAGCACCGGCUAACUCCGUGCCAGCAGCCGCGGUAAU